AUUGAACGCUGGCGGCAGGCCUAACACAUGCAAGUCGAACGAGAGGCGGACGGGUGAGUAAUGUCUGGGAAACUGCCUGAUGGAGGGGGAUAACUACUGGAAACGGUAGCUAAUACCGCAUACCAUCAGAUGUGCCCAGAUGGGAUUAGCUAGUGGGGGGGGUAACGGCUCACCAAGGCGACGAUCCCUAGCUGGGCUGAGAGGAUGAACAGCCACACUGGGACUGAGACACGGCCCAGACUCCUACGGGAGGCAGCAGUGGGGAAUAUUCGACAAGGGUCGCAAGCCUGAUGCAGCCAUGCCGCGUGUAUGAAGAAGGCCUUAGGGUUGUAAAGUACUGUCAGCGGGGAGGCGUUACCCGCAGAAGAAGCACCGGCUAACUCCGUGCCAGCAGCCGCGGUAAUUC
rnacentral:rRNA from 1 species